rnacentral:lncRNA from 1 species
UGAAGAGCUCAGAAAAGAAGCAAGGCAAUUAAAGCGGGAACUCUUAGCAGCAAAACAGAAGAAAGAAAGUGCCACAAAAGCAGAGAAAGGAAGUGAAGAGGAAGAAGCUGUCCCAGAUGGCCCUGUUGCAGAGUACAGGCGAGAAAAGCAGAAGUAUGAAGCUUUGAGGAAGCAACAGCCCAAGAAGGGAACUUCCCGAGAGGAUCAGACCCUGGCACUGCUGAGCCAGUUUAAAUCUAAGCUCACUCAAGCCAUCACCGAAAUGCCUGAAAACUGUGCUGAAGCAGAAGUUGAAGAUGACGAAGGCUGAUUUGUGAGAGAAGGUUUCUUCCUGUAGACUUGGUUCUGUGGCUCACAUGCCUAGAUUUCAUUUCUUAUACCAGAGCCAACCAAGUCCAAUAGUUGCAAGAUUACCUCGUGACAUUGAAAGGAGGAAGGUACCUUUUUAUGUUUUUAAUUGACAACAUCUGGAAAAGGCAUUUGGAAACUUGGAUAGUUUCUACUGGAAUAGGUGUUAUUAACAAUUCUGUAUUGGAGGGAGAAUAUGGGAUUACUUUUUUAACAGAACAAUGAAUUUGUAUAAAGGUGAAUAAUCUAACUAGAUAGUGGGGUAAGUAAAGCAUCAAUCUAGAAAUAUUAAAUGAAAUUGUCUUGAGGGCUAUGUGGUUCCAGCUUAGGUAUAAGCUUUGAGGUGUACGCUG